AGACGGGGCCCGGCACAAGCAGUGGAGUAUGUGGUUUAAUUCGAAGCAACGCGAAGAACCUUACCAGGGCUUGACAUCCCUUGAAGCAGCUAGAGAUAGCUGUGUCCUUCGGGACAAGGAGACAGGUGGUGCACGGUUGUCGUCAGCUCGUGUCGUGAGAUGUUGGGUUAAGUCCCGCAACGAGCGCAACCCUCGCCUUUAGUUGCCAGCAUUCAGUUGGGCACUCUAGAGGGACUGCCGGUGUCAAACCGGAGGAAGGUGGGAUGACGUCAAGUCCUCAUGGCCUUUAUGUCUAGGGCUACACACGUACUACAAUGGCCGGUACAAAGGGCAGCCACUCAGCGAUGAGGCGCUAAUCCCAUAAAGCCGGUCUCAGUCCGGAUCGCAGUCUGCAACUCGACUGCGUGAAGUUGGAAUCGCUAGUAAUCGUAGAUCAGCAUGCUACGGUGAAUACGUUCCCGGGCCUU
rnacentral:rRNA from 1 species